GCGCGGGUGGCGAAAUGGCAGACGCGCUACCUUGAGGUGGUAGUGCCCGCAAGGGCUUGGAGGUUCGAGUCCUCUCCCGCGCACCA
rnacentral:tRNA from 1 species